AAUAGAUACCCUGGUAGUCCACGCCGUAAACGAUGAGUGCUAAGUGUUAGAGGGUUUCCGCCCUUUAGUGCUGCAGCUAACGCAUUAAGCACUCCGCCUGGGGAGUACGGCCGCAAGGCUGAAACUCAAAGGAAUUGACGGGGGCCCGCACAAGCGGUGGAGCAUGUGGUUUAAUUCGAAGCAACGCGAAGAACCUUACCAGGUCUUGACAUCCUCUGCCAACCCUAGAGAUAGGGCGUUCCCCUUCGGGGGACAGAGUGACAGGUGGUGCAUGGUUGUCGUCAGCUCGUGUCGUGAGAUGUUGGGUUAAGUCCCGCAACGAGCGCAACCCUUGAUCUUAGUUGCCAGCAUUCAGUUGGGCACUCUAAGGUGACUGCCGGUGACAAACCGGAGGAAGGUGGGGAUGACGUCAAAUCAUCAUGCCCCUUAUGACCUGGGCUACACACGUGCUACAAUGGAUGGUACAAAGAGCUGCGAACCCGCGAGGGUAAGCGAAUCUCAUAAAGCCAUUCUCAGUUCGGAUUGU
rnacentral:rRNA from 1 species